rnacentral:rRNA from 1 species
GACGAACGCUGGCGGCGUGCUUAACACAUGCAAGUCGAACGGUGAAGCGCCUUCCUUUUUGGUGGGUGUGGAUGAGUGGCGAACGGGUGAGUAACACGUGAGUAACCUGCCCCCUUCGUCUGGAUAACCGCAGGAAAGUUUUGCUAAUACGGGAUAUUCUGGGUCUGUCGCAUGCUGGGUCUGGGAAGGAUAUUGUUUCGGUGGGGGAUGGGCUCGCGGCCUAUCAGCGGUUUGGUGGGGUGAUGGCCUAGCAAGGCGGGGACGGGUAGCCGGCCUGAGAGGGUGGCAGAGCACGUUGGGGAUGAGGCUCGGCCACGACGGCUCCGGGACGCAGCAGUGGGUCCUACUGGACACUGGGGGGAAGAAUGUUGCAGCGACGCCGCGUGCGGGAUGGAGCCCUGCGGGGUGUGAGAUGCUUUCGUCAGUGAAGUAGGGCUGUCUUGCUUGUGGGUGGGUUGACGGUAGCUGGAUAAGAAGCGCCGGCUAACUACGUG